AAACCAACCGGGAUUGCCCCAGUAGCGGCGAGUGAAGCGGCAAAAGCUCCAUUUUGAAAGCGCCUCGGCGCGUUGUAGAGCGGUGCGGUCUUAAGGGUGGCGUGGCAGCGAAGUCCCCUGGAACGGGGUGCCAGAGAGGGUGAGAGCCCCGUGCGCUGUGCCAAGCCCAGAAGUCCGUGCCACGGAGUCGAGUUGUUUGGGAAUGCAGCUCUAAGUGGGUGGUAAAUUCCAUCUAAGGCUAAAUACCGGCGAGAGACCGAUAGCGAACAAGUACAGUGAUGGAAAGAUGAAAAGCACUUUGAAAAGAGAGUGAAACAGUACGUGAAAUUGUUGAAAGGGAAGGGUAUUUGGCCCGACAUGGGUCCUGCGCACCGCUGCCUCUUGUGGGCGGCGCUCUGCCGGGGCCUGGGCCAGCAUCAGUUUUCUGGCGGGGAGAAUGCGGCACGAACCACUAUGUGGGGACUGCUGCGAUGCCCGCACGGGGGACUGAGGACUGCCGCAGUAGGAUGCUGGCACAACGGCCAAAUACCGC
rnacentral:rRNA from 1 species